UACGAAGGGGGCUAGCGUUGCUCGGAAUCACGUGGCGUAAAGGGUGCGUAGGCGGGUCUUUAAGUCAGGGGUGAAAUCCUGGAGCUCAACUCCAGAACUGCCUUUGAUACUGAAGAUCUUGAGUUCGGGAGAGGUGAGUGGAACUGCGAGUGUAGAGGUGAAAUUCGUAGAUAUUCGCAAGAACACCAGUGGCGAAGGCGGCUCACUGGCCCGGAUACUGACGCUGAGGCACGAAAGCGUGGGGAGCAAACAGG
rnacentral:rRNA from 1 species